rnacentral:rRNA from 1 species
UACAGAGGAGCCAAGCGUUGUCCGGAUUGACUGGGCGUAAAGCGCACGCAGGCGGUCGGGCGCGUGGGGUGUGAAAUCUGGCCGCUUAACGGCCAGGCGCCAUCCCAUACGGCUCGACUGGAGUGAUGCAGAGGUCGAUGGAAUUGCCGGGUGUAGUGGUGAAAUGCGUAGAGAUCGGCAGGAACACCCAGGGGGGAAACCAGUCGACUGGGCAUCUACUGACGCUGAGGUGCGAGAGCGUGGGGGAGCGAACCGG